GCACAGACAGCGUGGGACUGAGUCAGUUUGUUUUCUGCACAUACCAAGGAACAGUAGAGCAACAAGGAGAAAGGAAUCUGGGUCCCUGAGUGGCUUCAAGGAACACAGUUAACUAUCCAGGCCUCGACCACCCGCUGCUGCAGACAGAUCUGGUUUCCAUUCCUGUGGCGUGUGAGACGAGGGGACCCUUCUUCAGGGAUUCGUGGGCAGUGUGCCGAGAGCUCGAUAAUCUACUGAAGGAUGUGCUAUAUCAAAAAGAAGAGAUUAAACUCAGCAAGGGGAAGACUAAAGGAAAAUAAAAAGAUAAAGGAGACUGGAAAGCCAAGAGAAUCUCCAGCCAAGAGACCGGAGAAAAACAGGGAAUCUCCACAAUGAUGGGAAAGGGAGAUCCCAAGAUGACAAGAUGACAACGUGUCACCAGCUGAGUACCACCAACCCAGACUGCCACAGUGUGUCUCAGGGGCCAAGCAGGCUGCUGAGACUAUUAUCUAUGCCACCCUGUCACAUCCUCAAAACAAGAGACUAUAGCAAGCAGGAAGACAGGAGACUGGGAAGCAGGGAAUAUAAUCAUGAGAAAAGCAAAAGGAACUCCCAAGAUGGUAACAGAGGGAAGUUCGAGAUGACAGCUUAGUGGUGGCCUAAAGAGAAAUAUUUACAUUUAAAAAUACUAUUUUCAGGGGCACCUGGGUUGCUCAGU